rnacentral:rRNA from 1 species
AACGAACGCUGGCGGCAGGCCUAACACAUGCAAGUCGAACGCGUCCUUCGGGACGAGUGGCAGACGGGUGAGUAACGCGUGGGAACGUACCCUUCGGUUCGGAACAACAGCGGGAAACUGCUGCUAAUACCGGAUAAGCCCUUCGGGGGAAAGAUUUAUCGCCAGAGGAUCGGCCCGCGUUAGAUUAGCUUGUUGGUGAGGUAAUGGCUCACCAAGGCUACGAUCUAUAGCUGGUCUGAGAGGAUGAUCAGCCACACUGGGACUGAGACACGGGCCAGACUCUUACGGGAGGCAGCAGUGGGGAAUCUUGGACAAUGGGCGAAAGCCUGAUCCAGCCAUGCCGCGUGAAUGAUGAAGGCCCUAGGGUUGUAAAAUUCUUUCGACGGGGAAGGAUAAUGACGGUACCCGUAGAAGAAGCUCCGGCUAACUUCGUGCCAGCAGCCGCGGUAAU